rnacentral:lncRNA from 1 species
CUGCCCUUUCCCCAUCGCUGAGCCCAGACGCACACCGGUGGGAGAAAGGCUGCGUGCUCACCGGGCUGGGGGGGAGCCCCACGGCCUGCCCCCACCACGGGGCAGCAGCCCCAAAUUAUAUGGGGCGGUGUUUGCCAGCUGCUCGCCCUCCCUCACACCUCUCCUCUCCACCCCACAGGGCCCGGCCGUGUCGGAUGGAGAAUUAAACGCCUCCAGGGCCCGGGGCAGCAACCACAGCGUGAACAGCCUGCCCGCCCCGCAGAGCACCUGCAGCUCCGCGCACGGCUCCGUGGCCAGCUGGGCAGAGUCCUUCGAGACGCUGCUGCAGGACCGCGUGGCUGUCACCUACUUCACCGUGAGUGCCGCAGCCCAGACCCUGCUCCCUGCACCAGCCCUGCAGCCGUCCUGGCCUCGAGCAUCCCUCACGCAGCUCUCUGCCCCCCCAGGAGUUCCUCAAGAAGGAGUUCAGCGCCGAGAACGUCUACUUCUGGCAGGCAUGC